GGCGCGGUGGCAGAGUGGUCAUGCGAUGGAUUGCAAAUCCAUCCAGGUUGGUUCGAUUCCAGCCCGCGCCUCCA
rnacentral:tRNA from 1 species